rnacentral:tRNA from 2 species
GCCCAACUAGCUCAGUUGGUAGAGCAUGAGACUCUUAAUCUCAGGGUCAUAGGUUCAAGCUCCAUGUUGGGUG